UACGGAGGGUGCAAGCGUUGUCCGGAUUUAUUGGGUUCAAAGGGUGCGUAGGCGGCUAAUUAAGUCAGCGGUGAAAUUCCACAGCUCAACUGUGUGAACUGCCAUUGAUACUGGUUGGCUUGAGUACAGAUGAGGUAGGCGGAAUUGACAGUGUAGCGGUGAAAUGCUUAGAUAUUGUCAAGAACACCUAUUGCGAAGGCAGCUUACUAAACUGUAACUGACGCUGAGGCACGAAAGCGUGGGGAUCAAACAGG
rnacentral:rRNA from 1 species